ensembl:lncRNA PPP1CB-DT PPP1CB divergent transcript
CAGGGUUGAGUUUGUGCAUCGAUUGUGAACACAACAGGCAGCAGGCUAUAAUGGUGGUCCUGGCUGGAGUAGUUUUCACAGACUUCAGUAAUCUGUGGAGAUGAACGGGCAGUUCUCUGUAGUUUUCACAGAUCACUGCCAGUUCGUUUUGAGGCCUUCAGGAGUGAAGACCUGGCUCAUCAUCACUCUUUGUUGUUUUGUUAAAUUUAUUUACACCCUACUUUAUUCCAGAGGAAAGGAUUUAACGUAGUUUACAUAAAUGUGUACAUCAGGGUUUUCCAGUGCCUGGAGUCUUGGGCAGGAAUGGGCCACUGUAAGAAAGAGCUUUAUCACUAGGGCCUCAGCCAACUUUUCUGUGGGAUAUCCCUCCAAAAUAAUUAAGAGUUCAGAAUGCUUCAGAUUUUGAAGUGAAACUGAUAAAGGCAAACCAGUGCUCAGAGGAACCCAACCAUCUCUGAAUUGAGACCAGAGAGCUGUCUCUAUGGAUAGUCCUUAGAGAAGGCAUUUCGGAACA